rnacentral:lncRNA from 1 species
UCACUGGCCACGUUGUCAUGUACGCAAGGAAAAUUAUUUGAACUUGACUUGACAACGCACCUGCAACUCCAAGAGAUGGGCCUCCAACUCCUCGAUGCCCAUGUCGUUCUGGAAGGAAGCGUGAGAGUGCAAGGGAAUCAACAAACCCUGCAAAGUGACUGGACAUGAGAGGUUUUCGUCCCAUCCUUACCUUGACAGCAGGCAUGGCUUGGCGAGUUUCCCGAUAGCAGGCAGUCAGACAUGGCACCAGCACCGAUGCCACUAGGUUCACCGGAUACUGCUCUGCUGCAGAUACACCAAAGAGGCUCAUGGCCAGGACGCGCACCACGUCCAGCAGCAGUUCAUCGGGCAAGAAGGUCUCGACCCGGUCAGCCUCUCGGAACGCUCUCUCCAGGCCUGCCUGGUCACCUCGCUCGGCACAGCCGACCAGAAGCGCAUGGAAUGUGUC